GCCAGGAUAGCCAAGGUGGUCACGGCGGGAGUCUGAAAAACUUCAGAUGUGUGUUCAACUCACACUCCUGGCA
rnacentral:tRNA from 1 species